GACAGCUUGGCCGAGUGGUUAAGGCGUUAGCCUGCUAAGUUAAUGGGGGAGUUCGAAUCUCACAGCUGUCG